rnacentral:rRNA from 1 species
UAACCUGCCCAAGAGAUCGGGAUAACACCUGGAAACAGAUGCUAAUACCGGAUAACAACAGAUGAUGCCUAUCAACUGUUUAAAAGAUGGUUCUGCUAUCACUCUUGGAUGGACCUGCGGUGCAUUAGCUAGUUGGUAGGGUAACGGCCUACCAAGGCGAUGAUGCAUAGCCGAGUUGAGAGACUGAUCGGCCACAUUGGGACUGAGACACGGCCCAAACUCCUACGGGAGGCAGCAGGA